GACGAACGCUGGCGGCGUGCUUAACACAUGCAAGUCGAACGGAAAGGCCCUGCUUUUGUGGGGUGCUCGAGUGGCGAACGGGUGAGUAACACGUGAGUAACCUGCCCUUGACUUUGGGAUAACUUCAGGAAACUGGGGCUAAUACCGGAUAGGAGCUCCUGCUGCAUGGUGGGGGUUGGAAAGUUUCGGCGGUUGGGGAUGGACUCGCGGCUUAUCAGCUUGUUGGUGGGGUAGUGGCUUACCAAGGCUUUGACGGGUAGCCGGACUGAGAGGGUGACCGGCCACAUUGGGACUGAGAUACGGCCCAGACUCCUACGGGAGGCAGCAGUGGGGAAUAGUGCAAAAUGGGCGGAAGCCUGAUGCAGCAACGCCGCGUGCGGGAUGACGGCCUUCGGGUUGUAAACCGCUUUCGCCUGUGACGAAGCGUGAGUGACGGUAAUGGGUAAAGAAGCACCGGCUAACUACGUG
rnacentral:rRNA from 1 species